UACGGAGGAUGCAAGCGUUAUCCGGAUUUAUUAGGUUUAAAGGGUGUGUAGGCGGAUUGGUAAGUCAGCGGUGAAAUCUCUCAGCUUAACUGAGAAACUGCCAUUGAUACUGUCAGUCUUGAAUGCAGAUGAGGUAGGCGGAAUAUGUAAUGUAGCGGUGAAAUGCUUAGAUAUUACAUAGAACACCAAUUGCGAAGGCAGCUUACUAAAUUGUGAUUGACGCUGAGACACGAAAGCGUGGGGAG
rnacentral:rRNA from 1 species